UCUUCCUAUUACAGCCUCGCGUCGCUCCAUGCUCCGAGAAAUAGGAGGGCAGAUGUUAAAUAUGUUAAACACACGCUUUGCCCCCUGGAGGUUUAAGUUAAGGCUGCUGUCUCAAUUUGGCCAUUUUAGGCCUUGCCAAGCUUCAGGGAACAUCGGCGUUCCGCUUCAUUCUCUCCUCCACAAAAGGGGCUUCCCGUCCACCCCCUCCCCAACCCUUGCAUUCAGAUGGUGGGCCCAAUCCACUAGGAACAUCUCUGCAAACCUCCAGCCUCGCCUCUACACUGACUGGCAGUGGCUCUGCAGAAUUACAGACAGAGGAUAAUCUCAGCCCUGCCUGAAGAUGCCAUUGGGGAUUGAACCUGGAACCUUCUGCAUGCGAAGCAGACACUCUACCACUGAGCUAUGGUCCUCCCUAAACACACAGACAGAAGCACAAGAUCAACAGCUCUCCUUGCGGGGAUUAAGGCGGAUGUACCACCCAGGAAGCAAAAAUAGAAUUAACACCAACAUGAAGAAAAUAUGGUGACAUUUUUUUAAAAAAGGUGUCGUCGUCCCCAGCAAAGUCAAGGUGUACAUGUGUAUAUGCUGGCCCCAAUCCAGCACAAGAGAUUCAUGUAUAGGAGAAGCUUUCCUCUCACACAGCUAGUGCAGAUACUUGCCCAGGCCAAACUGAACAUGGCGGAUUUGUCUUUUAUUUAUUUUAAAUACGUAUGUUCCACCUUUCAAUUGCAGGAAGCCUUGAGGUGGCUGACAGAAACAUCACUGUAGAUGCAAUUAAGCCAUAAGACCUGUUAACAAACCCACUACAGUAAUACAGAGAAAAUACUAUUAAAAGCUAAACGGUAGGGGAGCCGUGUAUUUGGCUGUUUCCUAAAAAACAAAUCAGGGAGAGAGUCCAACAGAGGGGUAAAGGGCUGAUUACAGUGAUAAGGUACCAUGAACAAAAAGGCCUUGUCUUUGCCUCAGAAAGAGUGAGGAUCCUUCUGAGAAUGUGUGUGGGGGGGGCACACACAUCCUUAUUUAUGUAUUAUUACAUUUAUAGGCAGAGCCUCCCUUUCCUCCAAGGAAUACACGGUUCUUCUCCCUCUCCGUUAUUAUCCUCACAAUGUCCCAGGGAGCCAACUUUGGCUCAGAGAUAGUGACUACCCAGUGAGCUACAUGGAAAGGUGGAGAUUUGAACCCUGGUCUCCCAGGGUUGUACCUAAGGCUUAUUGCACCCCUGGCCCUUUAAUUCUCUGCCAGUAAAGCCAAAGACUCUGAAAGAUCUUGGAUGCUGAAGGCUCCCUAGUUCACUGCAGCAAGUGGGACUACACUGUCUGUAGCUGUUACCUGAAGAGUUUGGAGUAGGAAAGAUUUUCUUUAGUAUGGGAAUUAGAUAAACAGAGAUAGAUGCCUCUUCCACCCCAAAGGUUCCUGUAUUAGGUGUUGUUGUUGUUUUUAAUGCAAUCUUUUCUGUAAUUUGGGAUCUAUUCCUAGCAGUGGUUGCAGGGAUGUUCACUGGAGGCACUGCCAUCCAUAAGCCUCGGUGUUUCUGGGUGCCAUAGAGAGCCAUUGCCAUAAAAACAGAAGGGACUCUGCAUGGCUGCGACCUACAAGCUCAGUGUGUGCAUUUCAGAGCUGAACUCCAAGGAAGUUUAACUCAGAAACAUAAAACCCACAGAGCACAUUUACUUUCACCCAAAAGCCAAGGGCAUAGAGGACAGCAGCUUUUUUCCCUUUUCUUUAGGCGUUAGCAGUGUCCGUCCAAACAAAAGCGUGAGGCCCUGGGGCAUCGGUGUGCCUGCAUAUGGUGUAACCAACAACAAAAAGUCUUCCAAUAAUUGUUUAUUAGGUACAAGGGGAGAGAGCAAAAAGUAACUGAGCACCAGGCUGUGCUGAAUUAAUCAUCCCAUUUAAAUAAAUAGGAUUUCAGCAUGCUUAACAAGAAAUGUACCAACUUCUGCCUGUUUCUGUUUCGCAGGCUUUUUGCUCAUAAUUCUAUUCCAUUCUGUUUCUGCAUUUAUCUUCAUUUUUAAAAAUAAGCAAACGUGAAUUUGCCUCUCAAUAUACAUAUAUAAAUGUGCUGAAUUUUAAUGCAUUUGAAUCACCAAGAGAUUGUGUGGAAACUUUGAGAGAAAUGUGAAAUCUGGCUAACAGCCAGAUGCUUGAGUAAAUCAAAAUGCUAAAUCACGGCUGAUUUGUUUAUUUUAGAAUUUUGCAAACUCCACCCCCCCUGAAAAUAAAGGUGUACACUUAUCUUGUUUGCAAUAAUUAUUUACACCCUCCCCUACUGCUUAACUUGGAAACAAAAAUGUAAUAACAUAAAGCUGUAUACUGA